ensembl:lncRNA
UGAAAUGCAGACAAACCUGUCAGGCAGAGAGAGAGAGAGCGAGCGAGCCCCAUAGAGUCAGAGUGGGAACUCCCUCUGUGCGAGGGAGAGGAGAGGAAGGAGGACACCACACUCAGACAUCCAGUGGGUCCCACACGCUGGUCAGAGCACGCCGUGACAUCAGAGUGACAUCAUGAGCUCCCCCACUGAGCAUACAGACGGGCAGGGUGAGGACAGGUCUGCUCCAGGGCCCUCAAGCCCCGCCAACAUCCAGGACAUGGAGCUGAGGGAGGAGUGGCAGGAUGAUGGCUUCCCCAGACCACUUCCAGAGGAUGAUACAGAAAGUCCAGCAGGAGAAUC